rnacentral:ncRNA from 1 species
GCUAUGAAUGGGUGUGGGCUUCCCCUAUAGUACCAAUGUCCGAGCAAAUCCUGGUUUGGGCGCUCUACGCGGUCCUCCAACUACAAGCUACUAUGAAUAUUGGGUGUGGCGGGGGGUUUAUCGUUGGGUUUUUUGUUUUGUGCAAAUUGAAUUUUUAUGUUUUUAAAUUGUUUAUUAUGUUAUAAUAUAUAUAAAUUGACUCAGAGCUGGUUCGGACAAGAGGAAUCUGACUAUUUAAUUAAAACAAAGAAUUGUGAUGGUCCUUAUGGAUGCUGACGCAAUGUGAUUUUUGCCCAGUGCUCUAAUGUUAAAGUGAAUAAAUUCAACCAAGCAUGGGUAAACGGCAGGAGUAACUAUGACUCUCUUAAGGUAGCCAAAUGCCUCGCCAUAUAAUUAGUGAUGCACAUGAAUGGAUUAACUAGAUUCCCACUAUCCCUAUCUACUAUCUAGUGAAACAACAACCAAGGGAAUGGGCUUGGCAUAAUCAAUAGGGAAAGAAGACCUUGUUGAGAUUGAUUGUAGUCCGACUUUGUGAAACGAAUUGAGAGUUGUAGAAUAAGUGGGAAUCAUUUUCGGCGCAAAUGAAAUACCACUACUUUUAACAUUAUUUUACUUAUAAUUUUGUGGGGCAGAGACGGGGCAGUUACCUUAUUUUUGGCCUUAAGUCAUGUUUCGAUGGGUCGAUCUGGGCGGAAGACAUUUCCAAGUGGGGAUUUUGUAUGGGGAAACACAUCUAUUAAAAGAUAACAUAAAACAUAAUUGGUGUAGAUAGAACAUUUGUAUUUGGGAGAUCCUAGUGCACAACCACCCGUAUUACCUUUCCCUCCUAAUUUGUAGUUACAUCCAAUCAUUUCUAAAUUGAAUCUAGUUUCCUCACGUGCACAAUAUGGAUAGAUGUGUGAAACCUAUAUAUUAUUAAAGAUGUCAAAACCC